rnacentral:rRNA from 1 species
UACGUAGGGUGCAAGCGUUAAAUCGGAAUUACUGGGCGUAAAGCGUGCGCAGGCGGCUUUGCAAGACAGAUGUGAAAUCCCCGGGCUAACCUGGGAACUGCAUUUGUGACUGCAUGGCUGGAGUGCGGCAGAGGGGAUGGAAUUCCGCGUGUAGCAGUGAAAUGCGUAGAUAUGCGGAGGAACACCGAUGGCGAAGGCCAAUCCCCUGGGCCUGCACUGACGCUCAUGCACGAAAGCGUGGGGAGCAAACAGG